rnacentral:rRNA from 1 species
UGGGGAAUCUUGGACAAUGGGGGCAACCCUGAUCCAGCCAUGCCGCGUGAGUGAUGAAGGCCUUAGGGUCGUAAAGCUCUUUCGCCUGUGAAGAUAAUGACGGUAGCAGGUAAAGAAACCCCGGCUAACUCCGUGCCAGCAGCCGCGGUAAUACGGAGGGGGUUAGCGUUGUUCGGAAUUACUGGGCGUAAAGCGCACGUAGGCGGACCAGAAAGUUGGGGGUGAAAUCCCGGGGGCUCAACCCCGGAACUGCCUCCAAAACUAUUGGUCUAGAGUUCGAGAGAGGUGAGUGGAAUUCCAAGUGUAGAGGUGAAAUUCGUAGAUAUUUGGAGGAACACCAGUGGCGAAGGCGGCUCACUGGCUCGAUACUGACGCUGAGGUGCGAAAGUGUGGGGAGCAAACAGGAUUAGAUACCCUGGGUAGUCCACACCGUAAAACGAUGAAUGCCAGUCGUCGGGUAG